rnacentral:sRNA from 2 species
CAAAUCAUUCUCUGGAAAUCUCUGGCGCAAUGCAAUCUAACGUAAAACUAGACAAGAGGGCGGGUAUAUAUAAGAACGAUAUAAAAUCAAUAUACAUCAAACCACAUAUGUGGAAUGAAACCUGAUUCUUACACUUUUCUCCAGGGUGUGCAUAUGCACAAAAUAUUACCACUUAAGAAAAAGCCUACGCGGUACAAAAAAUAUGUAAAUUUCAAUAUAACACGCUCACGUCCUAGCAUCUCCUAAGUGGGCUAAGGAAUUCAUGGAGAAGGAACUCGGGUGUCCAACCAACUUGUUGUAACCACAGGAAAAUUGCCAUUACGAAGGGAAGAUGUCCCCCUUGCCUGACGACGAAUGAACGAACAAUCAAGGAAAGUUUUGCCAAAACGAUACUAUUCCGCUCACACCUAAAAACAGGCAAAAGUCCUCUCUUCCUACCAUUGAUAUCAUAGAGCAGAACAAUAGGGAAUCAAAUUUCCUUAGUGGGUUGCGUGUUGUUAGUCGGCGGACGGGGAACAGACGUCAUCAUGAUGUUUUUUUUGUCCAAGUUUUGCAAGAAAACUCAAAACAAUCCCCCCCUUGGAACUUGAUAUUUAUACGUGGGUUGUACGUAACGUGUGUCAAAUGGAUUAACGAACAUACGGUGAGACCCAAAUAUACCAAAGAAAGACUUCACCGGCCGAUCUCAUCACAUCUUAUUCCUGUGUUGUACGAGACGGAGGAAGAAAAAAGGUCGGGAACAAACACUACAACCUCGCAUAUAUAUACAGAGCAGCCACAUACUCUCCAACCCUCCCCCCCCAAAAUAUCCGCAAGUAUGUCCUCCCGUCACGCCGGCCGCCAAUCCCCUUCCCCCUCCCGCCAAACCGGACCUCAAGAAUCCGACAUCCCUGGCUGGACCGGAAAAGCCGAGCAGACAGCUACAGAUUCGGAACAACCCCUGCGGAACCUGGCGAGCGGCAGUGAACGGACUGGUGGACAUCACGGUGGCGGGUGUGGUAUCCGCGUUCCGGGGGCAAUGGUUGAUGCGGAGGGGAAUGUGCAUUUGCAGAGUAACCCAGUGCAUGCGCUUGAGGAGGAAUCGGCGACAAAGACGGCGAAGAAGGGGCCUGUGGGGAUGAAGGGGAGGUAGGCUUGGUUGGGCUUUGUUUGUUUCGGUCCAUAUUGGGUGAUGAUGAUGAUGAUGAUGAUGAUGAUGAUGAUGAUGAUGAUGAUGGAAAGGGGUGGGUUGAUGGGUGUUCUUGUUUAUUUAUUAUUAUCAUUAUUAUUAUUUACCUCUACUUGUUACGGAUUCGUUGUUUUGGUUUUGAUGAAUUGGUAAACAUGGAAAUGAGUGAGCGUGAUCGUGGGGACCGGAUACAUCUCCUAUAUCUUUCCAGAGGAAAUCCAAUUUUUGAAACAAGGUAGUUCUGCAAUAAUAGCAUAGGACCCAUUCGUUAAAGAUUUGAAAACGAUGCGAGCUACAGGGGUAGACAGAUACAUCAAAAGAGUUUGCAGAGCAAAAACAACUCAAAAAAGCUUAAGCAAAUAUCACAAAUUCAGGCGAUGAGAAUUUCAGGUUAUCAUACCAUAUCAUAAUCGUUGUCGACGCUGCCAUUCCAGGGACAAUGACACCGGGAAGCCUAAAAGCCAUCAAAAGGACAUAAAGGGGAAAAAAAAGCAAUAACCCCUCUCAGUAUAUUACUGUCAGACCUAAUCAUCUCAUCUUCCCUUUACCGAGUUAUUAUUCCUCCAACGGCAUUUCAUGUCGCUCUCUUCUCCGUCUCCUCAGAGUGGACAUCAUGACUUGCCUCUGCUUUUUCCUUCCCCUCAACCCCCUCCGCCUCUUCCGCCUUCCCACUCUUCAAAUCCGCCAGCCUUCUCGCCUCAUUAUGGAUGUCCCUCACCUGUUUAUCACUCUGCAGAUAGAAAUCUCUCACCUUCUGCCCCGUCGGUGUGCCCAGGGCCUUCUCAAAGUACGAACUAAGUCCGCGCAGGCCACUUGCAGCCUUAUCGGAGAUGCCAUAGCUACUAUCGAUGUCCUUGGCCUUAUCAGUGGCGUGGAACUUGGCGUUGAAGUUGUCCAGCGCGUUCCGGAAACGCGUGGAGAAGCCGUGCUUCUUGUCGAGGGAGAUGGCCUGUUGGAUCGCGUGGUCGCUGAUCACGUAGCCGUGCGCGAGGUAUUCGGCGAUUAUGCGAGAGCGGGGCUUGUCUUCUUGUUCAAUGUCGUGGAUGCCCGCGGUGUCGUUUUUGGAUUCAGGGGAUUCCGCGUGGGCUUUGGGGCCGGCUAGCUGAUCGAUGGAUGCGGCUGCUGUUACCUUGACGGAGGACGGACCAAGUUGGGUAUUGUCGAGCAGAAGGGCGGUUUUGGCAGCGGCUUCUUUCUCAAAUGUUACUGUUGCUGACUGUGGAGCGUCUUGCUCGCCUGAGCUAGGGGUAAUUGAUAGAGAGGUUAUUUUUCCACAAAAACUGAAGAAAUCUCUUACUUCCUUCUCACUCGUCUUGGGUGAGAUAUCCGCGACGUGGACGGUGGUGUGGGAGGACAUCGUUGAAGAGAACUUGAAUGUAACAGUACUAGCAGUAUUGGUAUGAUCGCCCUACGCGGGGGUGAACACUGAACAGUGGUAGAGUAGGAUUCGUUAUUGGAUGGGUUGAAGUUGUAUUGAAGACCUCCAGCGCAAAGCAAGACCGGGGAGACGCUCUACAGGUAGAUAUAGAGCUGUGCGAGA